GGACCAGACUCCUACGGGAGGCAGCAGUGGGGGAUACUGCACAAUGGGGGGAACCCUGAUGCAGCGACGCCGCGUGGGUGAAGGAGUGCUUCGGCAUGUAAAGCCCUAUCGGCAGGGAAGAAGCAGGACGGUACCUGACUAAGAAGCCCCGGCUAACUACGUGCCAGCAGCCGCGGUAAUACGUAGGGGGCAAGCGUUAUCCGGAUUUACUGGGUGUAAAGGGAGCGUAGACGGCGAAGAAAGUCUGAAGUGAAAGCCCGCGGCUCAACCGCGGAAUGGCUUUGGAAACUUUUUUGCUGGAGUACCGGAGAGGUAAGCGGAAUUCCUAGUGUAGCGGUGAAAUGCGUAGAUAUUAGGAGGAACACCAGUGGCGAAGGCGGCUUACUGGACGGUAACUGACGUUGAGGCUCGAAAGCGUGGGGAGCAAACAGGAUUAGAUACCCGCGUAC
rnacentral:rRNA from 1 species